AUGGAUACAGGCGCGUCUAGUUCGGGGUCCAAAACCGAUCUGGAAGCCAUGAUGAAGGAACUAGGGCUCAAUGAGGAAACCAUAGAAGAUGUGAUCGUCGAGGAGGAGGAGUUGCCGGCUGAAGAUACCAGAUGGAUGGCUAUGGCACGAGUCCACACAAACAAGACAUACAGUCAGUAUUGGUUCUUCCGGAACAUGAGGGUGGCUUGGGACCUGGCGCAGGUGGUGAAGUUCCGACCAUUGGAAGAAAACCUUUAUACGCUGCAGUUUUCAUGCUUGGGUGAUUGGGAACGAGUCAUGCAGGAGGGGCCAUGGGUGUUCAAGGGCAAGGCAGUCGUGAUAGCUCCCUACGAUGGUUUCACACGACCAUCAACCAUAGGCCUCAACAAGCUGGAUAUCUGGAUGCAAAUCCACGAUUUACCGGAUGGUUACUUCUCCAAAGUUAAAGCUCUGUCGGCAACAGUGGGCGAGUUCAUAUAUGCAGAGCCAAAGUCUCCUGAUUUUGAGGGGAAUUUUUGUAGGGUGCGUGUCAAGAUAGAUGUCACAAAGCCUCUCAAGAACGCGGUGUCUUUGGUGGUCAAGGGAAAGCAAGAGGUUACUAGGGAAAUCUUCAGGGUGAAGUUUGAGAGGCUUCCGGACUGGUGUGCAGUUUGUGGUCAUCUGGGUCAUCUUUUCAAGGAGUGUGAGGACGGGGUUCAUCACCCGAGCAAGCUUGUCUUUAAAGAUCUGCAAGCCACCUAG
rnacentral:rRNA from 1 species